rnacentral:other from 1 species
GGGUUUCUGCUCUUCUCGUGUCCGGCUGCAUCUUUCCAGUGGCCGUAACCAACUCCGAGGGAGCUGGCUCUGUCCGGGCCCUGGCCCGGUUAUCUGGCGCCCACCUGUACAUGCAGGUCCUCGGGAAUCAUCAGCCCCACGGAUGCAGCGGUUCCCGC